rnacentral:rRNA from 1 species
UACGGAAGGCAGCAGGGGGGAAUAUUGCACAAUGGGCGCAAGCCUGAUGCAGCCAUGCCGCGUGUAUGAAGAAGGCCUUCGGGUUGUAAAGUACUUUCAGUCGUGAGGAAGGUGUUAAGGUUAAUAACCUUAGCAAUUGACGUUAGCGACAGAAGAAGCACCGGCUAACUCCGUGCCAGCAGCCGCGGUAAUACGGAGGGUGCGAGCGUUAAUCGGAAUUACUGGGCGUAAAGGGCACGCAGGCGGUUAAUUAAGUUGGAUGUGAAUCCCCGGGCUUAACCUGGGAAUGGCAUUCAAGACUGGUUAGCUAGAGUCUUGUAGAGGGGGUAGAAUUCCAUGUGUAGCGGUGAAAUGCGUAGAGAUGUGGAGGAAUACCGGUGGCGAAGGCGGCCCCUGGGACAAAGACUGACGCUCAUGUGCGAAAGCGUGGGGAGCAAACAGGGAUUAGAUACC